rnacentral:tRNA from 1 species
UCCCUGGUGGCUCAGAUGGUAAAGCGUCUGCCUACAAAGUGGAAGACCCAGGUUCGAUCCCUGGGUCGGGAA